UUCGCGAUUUAUCCGUUUUGCCACUUUGACCCCUCAGCGAAAAUCUCGUAAUUCCCAGAGAUCCGUCCGUCGAAUUUUCGAUCCGACAGUACCAUUGCGUUCAGCACGUCGGGGGCAUCAAAACUACAAUGUUGAUUCGUCCGAUUUGGUCACGGAUUUGCGACGGAACCCAUCCGCUCUCUAAUUAAUCCGUAUAUCGCACAUAUACCAAAGCAUAAACCCUAAAAUCUUUAAUUCAAAUUCAAAUUUGAAUUCCCUACCACCAGUAGGUACCAGAAACAACUCUCACCUAACCCCAGGUCACAAGCCAGAGCACGAGGAGUUUUAAAAUGCACAGAAAAGCAAAGAGCGGAAACCCUUUUUUUGGUAAAACUCCUUUUUCUCGAAAACCAUGCAUCAAAUCUGAAAUCCGUCAGUGAUAUUGGUUCCAGAAUAGCUGAACCGUUCAAAAUGAGCUAUUGGAUCGCUAUGAACGGAGUCCGAUACGCGCCGAAAGCCAACUCUAUUCCGUGGCUUCUCCGGAAAACCGGAGUUACUAUUCACUUAAGUGAAAACUAAUAAUCGCGUAACUUCUCCAUUUUAGCUCAUUUUCUCCUGAAACUUGACGAGUGCUUAUGUAAUUAAAUUACACACAUAAACAUCAUCAACAGAGAGUUUAGUUGCACUGUAAAAAUCUCAGUUCUUACAAGUAACCAAAUAUAAUUA
rnacentral:lncRNA from 1 species